rnacentral:rRNA from 1 species
AAACUCCUCACUCCGUACUAAGCAAUACUAUACCUCUAUAGAAAAUUUUAUGUUAAAACUAGUAACAAGAAGACAGACCUUCUCUUAAAUGUAAACGUAAAUCAUAAGGACAAACCACUGAUAUUUAACGCUCAAGAACCAGAAGUAAUAACCAACCAAGAAAACUUUACUUUAAUUAACGUUAACCUAACACAAGAGCAUUUCAAGAAAGAUUAAAAGAAAAAGAAGGAACUCGGCAAACUUUAACCUCGCCUGUUUACCAAAAACAUCACCUCUUGAUAAUAAUGAGAGGCCCAGCCUGCCCAGUGACCCAGUUCAACGGCCGCGGUAUCCUAACCGUGCGAAGGUAGCGUAAUCACUUGUUCUUUAAAUAAGGACUAGUAUGAACGGCAUCACGAGGGUUAUGCUGUCUCCUUUUUCCAAUCAGUGAAACUAAUUUCCCCGUGAAGAAGCAGGGAUAAAAUUAUAAGACGAGAAGACCCUAUGGAGCUUCAAACAACACAACAAAUGCCAAACAACUUAAAAAUUUCAUAACUCCAAAUUUACUCAGCAUUAUGAUUGUUAGUUUUAGGUUGGGGUGACCGCGGAGCAAAACACAACCUCCACAUUGAAAGAAUUUUAUUCUAAGCCAAGAACCACAACUCAAAGCAUCUAUAUAUUGACAUUAAUUGACCCAAUAAACUUGAACAACGAACCAAGUUACCCUAGGGAUAACAGCGCAAUCUACUUCAAGAGCCCCUAUCGACAAGUAGGUUUACGACCUCGAUGUUGGAUCAGGGUCUCCAAGUGGUGCAGCCGCUACUAAAGGUUCGUUUGUUCAACGAUUAAUACCCUA